rnacentral:rRNA from 1 species
UGAGUGAUGUCUGGGAAACUGCCCGAUGGAGGGGGAUAACUACUGGAAACGGUAGCUAAUACCGCAUAACGUCGCAAGACCAAAGUGGGGGACCUUCGGGCCUCAUGCCAUCAGAUGUGCCCAGAUGGGAUUAGCUAGUAGGUGAGGUAAUGGCUCACCUAGGCGACGAUCCCUAGCUGGUCUGAGAGGAUGACCAGCCACACUGGAACUGAGACACGGUCCAGACUCCUACGGGAGGCAGCAGUGGGGGAAUAUUGCACAAUGGGCGCAAGCCUGAUGCAGCCAUGCCGCGUGUAUGAAGAAGGCCUUCGGGUUGUAAAGUACUUUCAGCGAGGAGGAAGGCAUUAAGGUUAAUAACCUUAGUGAUUGACGUUACUCGCAGAAGAAGCACCGGCUAACUCCGUGCCAGCAGCCGCGGUAAUACGGAGGGUGCAAGCGUUAAUCGGGAUUACUGGGGCGUAAAGCGCACGCAGGCGGUCUGUCAAGUCGGAUGUGAAAUCCCCGGG